AGACAGUCUUCCGUUAGAGAAUAGUAAUAUGGGUUGCAUUUCUUCCAAUACCAUAAGAAAGUACACAUGAUAAAUGGAUAUAAACAUUGACAUUGACAUUGACAAAUUUUUCUUAGAAAUAUUAGUAAAAUAAGUUGACUUAUGCUAAAAUGUCAUUUCUUUUGAAUGCAUGAGGCCCAUGUUGGAAAUUUUGGAGAGGAUGAGUACUCUCAAUCAAUCAUUUGUCUUGAAGACAGGUGAAGAAAUGUUGCUUUUGAUAGGUUGGCAUUUUUGCCAAACUUAUGCUACUUUGUAAUGAUAAAUUCAUGCCCCAUUUUUGAGAUUAAUGGGCUAACAAUGAUUUGAAUGAUAAAAUUUUAGGUUUUGACAGUUUUUUUUUUGUAACUGGUAAUGUUAGGUCUUGACAGCUUUUGAAAAGCUUAAGGAGUGGAAUGACUUCAAUACUUGAGGAAAUUGGACAUGGAGGCUAAAAUUUGAAGAAAAAGUGGCUAAAAAGCAAAAAAGAAAUUGUGGGGGCCAAGUACCUCACCCAAGUAUCUGAGCCACGUAGCCAGGGAAGAGAAGCCAGUCAAGGGGGAGCUUCUGGAAUCACCCACGUGACGUAGCCAUACGUUAAGGGCCCUGUUGCCAUAUUUUUGCACGAGUGCGAAUAGAUUUUCACGGCACUUUUUAUAUCAUCUUUGUACCUUUGAAGCUUAGAUAGCAUCUGUAACUAUUUUUGAGAGGUUUUGAAGGAUUUCUCCAUCGAGUACCAAUUUUCUUUCCUAAUUGCUCUUUAAUUAGCUUAACUCCAUAGCCGGGGUUGUAGACUCUUAUGGCAUUAAAUAUGAAUGUGUAUUAGUUUAUCUUGCCUAUUAUUACUUGGGUUUUUAUUAUCUACUUACUUACAUUCUUAUUUGGUAAUUUGUUGGUUGCAAACGUAGAUUAAGCUUCACAUGUCCAUUUAUUGCUUGGAAGAGUGGAAAUUGGAUUGGAUAUUGCACAGCAAGGAAUUGAGUAUAUUGAUAAGAGGGAACAAAGACAUAAUAUAAGUACACAUUGAGUUCAACACACUGUUUACAAGGGAUAUGUGGCAAGACUUCCGAAGUUAUGGGAUGUGUUUCGAGGAAGAUUUCAGUUUUGGAAGUUUGGUUUUUGGGAUGUUUAACCAAAGUCAAAAUUUUGGAUUAAUGAGGUUGGGUUCAAGUUUUGACAGAUCUGUUAGGUCCAAAGGAUGAAUUUUGACUUAGUUUGGUGGUUUGAAUGGAUCCCCAGGCACUCAGAAGUGAUUUGGAUCAUUAGAUGAUUCUAGUAUUUUGGAAAGUUUAGAGUAGAUCACGAUCAACAUUUUGUCAAAUUGACCUUGGAUUGGUUAUGGUCAAUCUGCACAUUUGGUUUGUAUCCGGGAAGUUUCAGAUGAAUUUCGAGGGUCGUGUCCUAGUUUGAAAGUGUCAUGAAGUUUCUGGGUGAAGUCCAGUGCAUUUCUUUCCGCAAUAACGAAGGCGCAGCAGUGAGCCUUGGAUCGCCUCUGCAAAGUCAUCAAGGUCAAGAGAGGUUGCUCUUGGGAACUCCCAUCCACAUCGACAAUGUGGCACCAGUGAAGCUCGUCUGCUCCUAUAUGAUGACAGCCGCUUCUGCGGAGCUGUAAGCGCCAAGCUCAUUUAGUUCCGCCUUUGUAAGCUCGCAGAAGCAGGAAAUUCUCCACUUCUAUGCAAAUCCCUGGCUAUUUGGAAUUCUAGAGUUUGGGGUUUUGGGCAGUUCCAGAGGGGGUUUGCUCAAUUUCUUCAUGGGGUCAAGGAGGGCUUUCAAUCAAUUACAACUGGAACAACGCAGACAAAUAUGGUUAUCACUGAUUGAUCAACUUCAAUACCAUAUUGCUCCAAAAGGAUCUCGAGCAAAGUCUCCCAAACAGAUUCAGAAUGGUAUCUCCAUGAAGGUCGAGGAGGAUUUUACAGGCAUAUGCUUUGUUCACUUUCCAGAUUAAAAUAAAAAAGAAUCCAAGUUAUUGAAAAGAAGCACAUACCCAAAGCUUCACAAAGGUAUCCGUUAUAACUGGAACAAUGCAGACAAAUAUGGUUAUCGCUGAUCGAUCAACUUCAAUACCAUAAUGCUCCACAAGCAUCUCGAGCGCAGUAUUCCAACCGUAUUCAGAAUGAUACCUGGACAGAUUCACCACAUUAUCCAACAUGACAAAGCUUUCUAAGGUUCCGAUUGUUGAAGAGUUUUGGGAGGUGUCAUUGUUGAAGGCUUGGAUUCUUCCUUUCAUCCAAGUAGGGUAGGUCCUCAACUCUCGAGGGCAAUGUCAUCCUCUAACUUUGGAUUUGUUAUGAGCUUAUUGACUCUAUCAUUCCUUUCCUUGUUAUUUGAAUAUUGUACUUUUGUAUGACCUAUACAUGGUCUUGUUGAAUCGAUGUAAGGGUUAUGCCCAUAUUGUGAUAUUCGUUUAGAUGGUAUGAGAUGAGACAAUUAUUGAGACUAAUUCUAUAUUCUUAUACAUGUAUGUGCAAUAAAAGUAGAAGGAUAUGUAACCUUUCUAUAUGAAGGGUCUAUGUAUAC